GGAAGGCUGGUUACUAUACAUGCAAGUCGAGCGGACAGAAGGGAGCUUGCUCCCGGAUGUUAGCGGCGGACGGGUGAGUAACACGUGGGUAACCUGCCUGUAAGACUGGGAUAACUCCGGGAAACCGGAGCUAAUACCGGAUAGUUCCUUGAACCGCAUGGUUCAAGGAUGAAAGACGGUUUCGGCUGUCACUUACAGAUGGACCCGCGGCGCAUUAGCUAGUUGGUGAGGUAACGGCUCACCAAGGCGACGAUGCGUAGCCGACCUGAGAGGGUGAUCGGCCACACUGGGACUGAGACACGGCCCAGACUCCUACGGGAGGCAGCAGUAGGGAAUCUUCCGCAAUGGACGAAAGUCUGACGGAGCAACGCCGCGUGAGUGAUGAAGGUUUUCGGAUCGUAAAGCUCUGUUGUUAGGGAAGAACAAGUGCAAGAGUAACUGCUUGCACCUUGACGGUACCUAACCAGAAAGCCACGGCUAACUACGUGCCAGCAGCCGCGGUAAUACGUAGGUGGCAAGCGUUGUCCGGAAUUAUUGGGCGUAAAGGGCUCGCAGGCGGUUUCUUAAGUCUGAUGUGAAAGCCCCCGGCUCAACCGGGGAGGGUCAUUGGAAACUGGGAAACUUGAGUGCAGAAGAGGAGAGUGGAAUUCCACGUGUAGCGGUGAAAUGCGUAGAGAUGUGGAGGAACACCAGUGGCGAAGGCGACUCUCUGGUCUGUAACUGACGCUGAGGAGCGAAAGCGUGGGGAGCGAACAGGAUUAGAUACCUGGGUAGUCCAA
rnacentral:rRNA from 1 species